GGAAAGGUAUGAAUCACAUGGGAUAGGAGAGAUGAACAUGAGAAGGGCUGGAAUUGCCGUGGAGCUCCAGGUGUGGCUCCCAAGGUCACAACACAACUCCUGACUGAAGCUCCUGCAAAGACUAUAGAUUUGGAGCUGAUGAAUUGGCAGAGUUGGUGUGGUUCAUCUCCUCUCAGCUGGGGAGGGCUCUGGGCACGUGGUGUGUGUCUUUCUCCCUUCUGCCACAGUGGUCACAGGGUGCCAACACCAGGAAGAGUAAAUUACAGAAAGUCUUGCUACAGUUCCUGUGAUUUCGUGUGCCAAUACUUUAAAACUCCCCCUACAACUUGGCUUGGUGUUUGAAACCCCUCUCUUCCAUUCACCAUCCACUGCUCUUCAUGAGUUCAGCACUCCCCACAUAAGAAAAACUGAGUCUGCUGGAGAGGGCAUGGAGCAACAUCACAAACAGAUCCAAACUGGUCCCAGCUUCAGGCACCAGCUUGUCAAGUUGCACCCAGGUCUGGGCUGGACUAUCAGCACAGGGUGGAACCAAUGUACUCCUCUUCUCUGGAACGUCUCUGUGACACACUCAGUUGGUUUCCAUGCUGGCAUAUCUCUUGCCAGGUGCAGUGCCACUGGAACAUUUUCCACUUUGGAAGGGUGAGUUCUUGGGAGAGAAAUAAAUCAGAGCUGAACCUCUGAUGCUACAGAAGGGCCUUGAUUCCAGCUGCGGGUUCCUGGGAUUCCCGCUCUUUGUCCGACUAUCUUUGGCUCCCUCUCCUGGCUGAAAACACGGGUUACAGCCAAGAGAAAAGAGCAGAAACCACCAGGCUCCGGGGACCCUCCAGCCUGCGGUCCUGAUGCUGACUAGAGGAUGAUGAAGCGUUUGCAAUCUCACUUUGCAUCCCUUGAUCAGUGGGGUUAAACAUGUUAUUUUCCCUUCCCCAGCACUGUAGAACCCUUUUUAAUGCAGCAAGCCUGGGAGUGACCAUCUGUUUUAUUUUUAUUGCAAAUUCCACGCAGGGAUGUCAGGCAUCACCACCUGAACUCCUGUGGGGAUACGGCUCUCUGCCCUCUAAGAAAGAAAACCAAAGCCAAAUACCCCCAAAAUUCUGCCUUUAUUAACAUUUAGUCCCUCUGUUGGCGUUUAAAUUCAGAAUACAGCCAGCACAUCUCUUGGGCCCUGCUUCCAUCCAGCUGUGCUUGCCUGGCCCCUGCUUUGAGGCUGCCCUAACCCUGGCCAGGUAAUUCCACAGUUGCUCUGGCUGACAGGGAGCAGCUCCAGGGCCCGCAGAUGGUGCUGUGUCCUUAUUCCCGGCUGCCUUUCUCCUCUGUUCCCGGUCUGGGAGGUGGCUGCUGUCUCACAGACACCGGCUCAGCCACAGAUGGGGACAGUGGGCUGGGAAAGACCCUGGGGACAUGUCAGGUCAUCACCUGAGUGCUCCUGCUCUCGAGGGUCAGCUCCGGUGGGGCCUUUUAUAUACACACAUACAUAUAUAUAUAUAUAUG